rnacentral:lncRNA from 1 species
UGUGAAACCCUGAUAGUCCUAUAUAUAAAAGAUACAAUAGGAUUAAAACUUUUUAAUCUGGUUAUAGUAUUUUAGACAGUGGCUCCAAGAGGUUAAAAAAAUUAAGUAUGUUAGGAUUAGAGUAGUCCUAGGAUCGGUAACCUCCUGAAAAGUAGGGCAUCACAGUUUUGUAUCAGAGUAAGUUACCAACUGGAAGUGUGAGAUGAAUUUU